GACCUCUUUGAAAAGAAAGGCUACACCUUUGACUAUGCCUAUGAUUGGGUUGGGAGACCUAUUCCUACUCCAGUAGGGUCAGUUCACGUAGAUUCUGGUGCAUCUGCAAUAACUCGAGAAAGCCACACACAUAGGGAUCGGCCAUCACAACAGCAGCCUCUUCGAAAUCAGGUGGACUGUUCCCUUGCAAAUUCUCCAAUUUGACUAGGAAAAUAUGAAUCAAAGAUCAGUAAAGAGUACUGUUUAGUUCUGACCGAGGCUCAGGGUUUGCUAGUUGAAGGGGCUAAGUUUGCGCAGAGAUAAUCUGCCUCCUUGUGACCUGCGUGCAGUUUCCUAACAUGCUGCCUGCCAUCCAGUAGGAGCACAGACAGAGAUUGCACACUCCUCCUGGCCACAGGAUGGCCACAGCUCCACAUAGAGCUCAGUGCAGGAGACGUCUGCCCCUCCUCAUUUCUGGGACCUUUACUCUGAGAGGAGCUUUGAAACAAGCAAGUGCAAAACUGAAAAUAGAUUCCUUAGCGUCUUCUGUUCUAUCACCUAGUCACUGCGGCUCACCUCUUCUCUUAAUUCUGUAUUCCAUAUUAAAAGUUUUUUUCUUUC
rnacentral:lncRNA from 1 species